CUGGCUCAGAUUGAACGCUAGCGGGAUGCCUUACACAUGCAAGUCGAACGGCAGCACGGACUUCGGUCUGGUGGCGAGUGGCGAACGGGUGAGUAAUGUAUCGGAACGUGCCCAGUAGCGGGGGAUAACUACGCGAAAGCGUAGCUAAUACCGCAUACGCCCUACGGGGGAAAGCAGGGGAUCGCAAGACCUUGCACUAUUGGAGCGGCCGAUAUCGGAUUAGCUAGUUGGUGGGGUAACGGCUCACCAAGGCGACGAUCCGUAGCUGGUUUGAGAGGACGACCAGCCACACUGGGACUGAGACACGGCCCAGACUCCUACGGGAGGCAGCAGUGGGGAAUUUUGGACAAUGGGGGAAACCCUGAUCCAGCCAUCCCGCGUGUGCGAUGAAGGCCUUCGGGUUGUAAAGCACUUUUGGCAGGAAAGAAACGUCGCGGGUUAAUACCUCGCGGAACUGACGGUACCUGCAGAAUAAGCACCGGCUAACUACGUGCCAG
rnacentral:rRNA from 1 species